CAGCCGUAAACAAUGUGCGUUAGGUGUGUCGGUAACCACGUGUUACUGAUGCGCCGAAGAGAAAUCGUGAAACGCACCACCUGGGAAGUACGGUCGCAAGGCUGAAACUUAAAGGAAUUGGCGGGGGAGGCACCACAACAGGUGGAGCCUGCGGUUUAAUUUGGAUUCAACGCCGGACAUCUCACCGGAUAAGACAGCUGAAUGAUUGUCAAUCUGAAGGUUUUACAUGACUAGCUGAGAGGAGGUGCAUGGCGGUCAGUGACU
rnacentral:rRNA from 1 species